rnacentral:rRNA from 1 species
GAUGAACGCUGGCGGCGUGCCUAAUACAUGCAAGUCGAGCGAACAGAUGAGGAGCUUGCUCCUCUGACGUUAGCGGCGGACGGGUGAGUAACACGUGGAUAACCUACCUAUAAGACUGGGAUAACUUCGGGAAACCGGAGCUAAUACCGGAUAAUAUAUUGAACCGCAUGGUUCAAUAGUGAAAGACGGUUUUGCUGUCACUUAUAGAUGGAUCCGCGCCGCAUUAGCUAGUUGGUAAGGUAACGGCUUACCAAGGCAACGAUGCGUAGCCGACCUGAGAGGGGGAUCGGCCACACUGGAACGUGGACACGGUCCAGACUCCUACGGGAGGCAGCAGUAGGGAAUCUUCCGCAAUGGGCGAAAGCCUGACGGAGCAACGCCGCGUGAGUGAUGAAGGUCUUCGGAUCGUAAAACUCUGUUAUUAGGGAAGAACAAAUGUGUAAGUAACUAUGCACGUCUUGACGGUACCUAAUCAGAAAGCCACGGCUAACUACGUG